AUUCAUAUCACGUUGAAACACCCUUUAUCGUGCGAUCAACGAAGUUAAGCAAUGUCGAGCCUGGUCAGUAUCUAGAUCUGAGACCGCUUGGGAAUAUCAGGUGUUGUAA